AUACGUACCUGGCAGGGGAGAUACCAUGAUCACGAAGGUGGUUUCCCCAGGGCGAGGUUUAUCCAUUGCACUCUCGGAUGUGCUGACCCCUGCGAUUUCCCCAAAUGUGGGAAACUCGACUGCAUAAUUUGUGGUAGUGGGGGACUGCGUUCGCGCUUAA
ensembl:snRNA U1 U1 spliceosomal RNA